rnacentral:tRNA from 1 species
GCUCCCAUCGUCUAGCGGCUAGGACGCCGGCCUUCUCGGGCCGGAAACGAGAGGUUCGAUUCCUCCUGGGAGCG